rnacentral:lncRNA from 1 species
GGAAAAAAAAUCUUAUACCAGAAUGUAAAUUAAAUUUCAAAUUACACAGGACAGCAUCUAGCAAUCCAUCACAAUGCUUCACAUAAACAAACUGUAAUAUUUCAUUACAUGACUAAAAUACACCGUAGAAUUGAUAUUGAUUAAUAAAAAUACAGAUCAGAAAAGGAACAUUGAUAGACUCCACGGCACGCUUGCGUGAGGUGGUCGUCGCCCGGACCGUUUCUAGCACAGUUGUUGGGUGAAUUGCUUGCAACACCUUAACCCCUCGUCUAUACUUUAGACGGUAAUCUUGGUACAAUUGCUCGCGUUUGGAAAUCUGCGUUGAAUGGACACCAACGACACCUUGACCCCUCGCUUAUAUUGAAGCGGUAAUCUCGGUACAAUCGACGAUUGAUGCGGUAGAAGACGCCACACACAACUAUGAAUUGUUGUAUGAUAAGUCAAAUUGAAUCUCAAAGAAAAAAACUAAGAAACUACUAAUUUCUUAGGAAUUCUUCAAAGAACCAAAAGUAGAGAAUAAACUCUCAAUUAUAUUGAAUAAAAAAUAAUGUAUUAAUUACAUAACUUGGACCUCUAUUUAUACUACUCAAAAUCAUCCAAAUCCUAAUAGGAAUAAACUAUAACCCUAAUUGAAAAAAAUCCUAAUUACAAUAGAAUUUAAAAAAAUACAAUAAAACUCUUCGC